AAAUAGAUACCCUGGUAGUCCACGCCGUAAACGAUGAGUGCUAAGUGUUAGAGGGUUUCCGCCCUUUAGUGCUGCAGCUAACGCAUUAAGCACUCCGCCUGGGGAGUACGGCCGCAAGGCUGAAACUCAAAGGAAUUGACGGGGGCCCGCACAAGCGGUGGAGCAUGUGGUUUAAUUCGAAGCAACGCGAAGAACCUUACCAGGUCUUGACAUCCUCUGCCAACCCUAGAGAUAGGGCGUUCCCCUUCGGGGGACAGAGUGACAGGUGGUGCAUGGUUGUCGUCAGCUCGUGUCGUGAGAUGUUGGGUUAAGUCCCGCAACGAGCGCAACCCUUGAUCUUAGUUGCCAACAUUCAGUUGGGCACUCUAAGGUGACUGCCGGUGACAAACCGGAGGAAGGUGGGGAUGACGUCAAAUCAUCAUGCCCCUUAUGACCUGGGCUACACACGUGCUACAAUGGAUGGUACAAAGAGCUGCGAACCCGCGAGGGUAAGCGAAUCUCAUAAAGCCAUUCUCAGUUCGGA
rnacentral:rRNA from 1 species